ACCUGGUUGAUUCUGCCAGUAGUCAUAUGCUUGUCUCAAAGAUUAAGCCAUGCAUGUCUAAGUAUAAGCAAUUACAAAGCGAAACUGCGAAUGGCUCAUUAUAUAAGUUAUCGUUUAUUUGAUAGUACCUUACUACAUGGAUAACCGUGGUAAUUCUAGAGC
rnacentral:rRNA from 2 species